ensembl:lncRNA
UGUAAAAAUAAGUCGGUAGGUUUUAGAAUGAAGAAUUCAUGACUCAAGAGAAUGCUAGAGAAUAGAAGAGAUAUGUGAGUUCAUGUUUAAGUUUCCAUUAGACUAUCCUUCAAGACUACACGUGCUGGAAUUUGGCUGCGUAGCAAAUGAUUGUACAUAAAUUUGCACUCUGAAGACCUGCUACAGUUCUUUCUUAGGAACUGCAGAAGUUCAGAGCUCUCCUGGAAAAUGGAGAAGGACAUCCUGUAUUUAUUAAAAUGCUAAACAUGAUUCUAGAGCCUAUUUACAAAGCCUAGGAAACAGUUUCCUGAAACGACAGAUGUGUGCAGCCUGCUUCCUUAUUUGGAAUAGCUUGGAAAGAUCUUUCUCUUUGUUUCACCCUUCCCUUUGCACCACUGUCUUCAUCAGCUUCACUUGUUCUUUAUAGUUUGGCGUUUCCAUUAGCCCCCGAGUCAAUGACUUUUCCUUCAUCUAUCUCUAGCCAUAAAACAGUGCUUCCUACUCCUUCCUACACCUGGAUACCUUGAACUAGCAAAACUCCUAUUGGAAGAGGUACUCUUAACUGUGAUCUUGCCUCUCCCUACUGCUGUACUGGCUCUAUCUAUAGGCAGCAGCACAGUUAUCUGAGAUAAGCUGACUCCCAAGCAGCUGACCACUCAAACAACACCGCCUUCAAACCAGUGAGGAAGAAAGCGAGUAAGUGACUGCCCACCCUUCAGUAAGGAAACUUAAUUUAUGAGGAAUAUGUGAGUUGCAUUUGGAGCAACUGGAGCGCCUACAAAAGUUUCUCCAGUGAUGAGGCAUCAAUACAGAUGUUGUCUUUAGCUCUAUAUGCCAUUUAUUUGGCUAACGAUGGCAAAAAGUGUUGGGGAAAAGAAUUACACCGACCUAUCUACUACACCGAUACGUAUACAGACAUAAUGUCUGUAUUAGCCUGUUCUGAGAAUGUCCUACAAAUACACUUUGAAGGAAAAACAAAGGGUGAGGGGAAAACAAACCAAAAAGCCCCUACACUUCUGUGCCCAAGAUACGUACACUGUAAUUGUUCUUGUUAAGAACAUGAAAUCCUUGUAGUCUGCCAAACCUCUUUUCCCUAUUCCCAUCUGCACCUUUCAGUGUGCAUCAACGAAGUGCUCUUGCUUAUGGGUUUCAAGUAGUAGCAGGUGAGACCGGUUUAUAAAUUAAUUAAAAGGCCAAGAUGUCUUAACCACUAUUUGCUUCUCUUUGGACUUCUUUUUUUCAUGCUAAUACAAACUGAAUCAUAAAGGGACACAAAAUUCAUGCAACUACGUUGUUAAAAGAAAUGUGUUAGAAAAUUCUUAUUUGAACUUCCAGGUAACAAACCGAGUAAUUUCUUAGGGGAUCAUUUAAGGUGUACUGAAGACAUCUUAAAAGACAAAGCAUUGGAAUACAAUUUCUAUGUUAGUAAACAUCUGCAAAUCAAAUUUUAAUUAAAAAGUAAAUGAUAGCAUACUUCACAAGACACUUUUACAGCAGGUUUGGUUUGCGCUGCUUUUUACAGGUUUUUAAUUCCUCAGUUGUCAGUAGCUGUUUUUUUGCUGAGCCCUGUACAGAUGUAAGUGUUUGUACAAAGACUUUCAGAGUCAUAGAAUGGCCUGGGUUGAAAAGGACCACAGUGAUCAUCGAGUUUCAACCCCCUGCUAUGUGCAGGGUCACCAACCACCAGAUGAGGCUGCCCAGAGCCACAUCCAGCCUGGCCUUGAAUGCCUCCAGGGAUGGGGCAUCUACAACCUCCUUGGGCAACCUGUUCCAGUGUGUCACCACUGAGAGAACCACUGAGAGAAAAACUACCUCCAAAGAGGGAAGGAAAGCCAGAUGAAAGGCCAUUCGUCUUCAACAGAAUCAGUUCAGUCUCGGUAUUUUACAAUGGAUUAUCUUUAAUCUGUGUCUAUCUACCAUGUCGUCAGGUAUCACUUUGCCUCUUGUGUUAGCUCUUUUUACCUCUUGCUUUGGUCUAUAAACAAACUGCAAAAAAAUGAUAGGAAAGUGAUCGUUCGAGAUGAUUCGAAAUCAUUUCUUUCUUUGUGAGGUGAGACUAUGAAAUGUAUUUUCAGACGCAGUCUGUUACUGCAAGCCAGAAUGCUUCUUUGUGCAACAUUAAGCUUUCAACGUCUGUGACAUUUUUGUAAUAAACAACUGUAAUUGUACUAAUUUCAAACGACCUGGUAUCAAUUCUGUCUGUAUAAAGUGUGAGUACUUCUGUAUUCACAUUCAUAU